UUUCACGGUCCUGUUUAAGAUGGGGUGGCUGCAGCACCCUCCGGGACUGGAAAAUCCAAGGUGAGGAGAGCACUCCACUGCCCUGCAUCUGCUUCCUUCAGUCACUGGAUGAAGGUUCUCUUCCUAAUCGGUGCAGGAAAGCAAAUCAGCUUGCUCAGGACCUGAUGUGGAUGUUGAUCUUUGCAGUUCAUGUGGUGAACACUAACUCCAAAGGUGUUAAGAAAGAGCUCAGGCAAUCCUGUGGAAGAAGAGCCAGAAGGGAUGGAGGACACCAAGAAAAUAAGACCUUUUAAAUCAACAUGAACAAAGUUCAUAUGAACUCACAGAGACUGAAGCAGCAUGCACAGAGCCUGCACAGGGGACUGGCGAUAUGGUUAAGAGUACUUGCUGCAGUGCGACCCGGUGCCUUUUUUGUGAAGCAGCAGAUGAGGAGACUCCAGCGCUUGCCAUGGCUGACGAGAAACCUAAGGAAGGAGUCAAGACUGAGAACAACGAUCAUAUUAACUUAAAGGGUUUGUCAAUGAGGCAGAUCAGAUUCCAGUUUGAUGGGCAACCAAUCAAUGAAACAGAUACAUCUGCACAGUUGGACAUGGAGGAUGAAGAUACGAUUGAUGUGUUCCAGCAGCAGACAGGAGGUGUCUACUACAAAGGGAACCUGCUACUUUACUCCAGAAUUUUGGUAUAGACCAAGAAUACAUUCGCAAUUAGAAAGCUGCAAUUUGGUUCCACCACAUCCUGACUACUGCAGUAUAGUUUUCUCUGUUCUUUCAUUUCCCUGUCCCCAUUUCUUUAUUGUACAUGAAGUAACUGGUGUAUGUGCACAAGCAUUUGCGCUUUUUUCUUUUCUUUUUUAAACUAAAUGGCCAGUGUUCUGUUUUGAUUGACAUCAGAUGGAGAUGGUCUGGGGAAAGCACUGGUUCUGUGAAAAUAUCCCCCUUUCUUCAUUAGUGGCAUGCUCAUUCAGCUCUUACCUUUAUAUUCCAGUAAGUUAUUUUGCUCUCAAUGUUUUAACAAAAGAA